UACGGGGGGUGCAAGCGUUGUUCGGAAUUACUGGGCGUAAAGGGCUCGUAGGUGGCCAACUAAGUCAGACGUGAAAUCCCUCAGCUUAACUGGGGAACUGCGUCUGAUACUGGAUGGCUUGAGUUUGGGAGAGGGAUGCGGAAUUCCAGGUGUAGCGGUGAAAUGCGUAGAUAUCUGGAGGAACACCGGUGGCGAAGGCGGCAUCCUGGACCAACACUGACACUGAGGAGCGAAAGCCAGGGGAGCAAACGGG
rnacentral:rRNA from 1 species